rnacentral:rRNA from 1 species
AUGAGCCGAAUGGGCAGCAACGGCGGCGGCAAGCUGGCAAGCUGGCUGUGGCGCGCGCCGCGGCGGGCUCUGGGCCGCGCGCGCGACCUCUACGUGCGGAGCCUCACCAGCUGCGCGGGCCAAUUCCCGUCCGACGCCUCCUUCGGCUACCCGUCCUUCGCCGCCGCCCCUGCGCCGUGCAGCAGGGCCGCCGGCUACCACAGCUUCUCCGCCUCCGCCUCCCCCUCAUCCUCCUCGCGGUCCUACGACGGCGACGGCGACCUGCGGGAGCUCAUGCGCGCCGCGUCGGAGAGGCGGGCGGCCCCAGAGCGGCCGCCGGCGGUGCCCAGGAGCCGGAGCGUGGCCAUGGCGAAGAUCGACGAGGACGGGCCGUGCGACUUUGGUCUCGCCGGCGCCGGCGUGCCGUUUGCCAGGAGCCGGAGCUGCGCCGUCUCCGCCGGCCGGGCCAGUGGGCAGAGGGGGAGGGCCGCGCAUGUGCCUGUGGCUUGA